UAGGGAAUUUUCGUCAAUGGGCGCAAGCCUGAACGAGCAAUGCCGCGUGAGCGAAGAAGGUCUUAGGAUUGUAAAGCUCUGUUGACAGGGAAAAGAGGUUAAAAGAGGAAAUGCUUUUAAUAGGAUGGUACCUGUCGAGGAAGCCACGGCUAACUACGUGCCAGCAGCCGCGGUAAUACGUAGGUGGCGAGCGUUAUCCGGAAUGAUUGGGCGUAAAGGGUGCGCAGGCGGAUGAUUAAGUCUAAGAGAAAAGAUAAGGGCUCAACCCUUGUAAAGCUUAGAAACUGAUGAUCUUGAGGACGGGAGAGGGCAGUGGAACUCCAUGUGUAGCGGUAAAAUGCGUAGAUAUAUGGAAGAACACCAGUGGCGAAGGCGACUGCCUGGCCCGUGACUGACGCUGAGGCACGAAAGCGUGGGGAGCAAAUAGG
rnacentral:rRNA from 1 species